rfam:TPA: Bos taurus chromosome 21, whole genome shotgun sequence.
UUUCUGGUGGCUCAGUUGGUAAAGAAUCUGCCUACAAUGCAGGAGACCCAGGUUCAACCCCUGGGUGGGGAA